CCUACGGGCGGCUGCAGUGGGGAAUAUUGGGCAAUGGGCGAAAGCCUGACCCAGCAACGCCGCGUGAAGGAAGAAGGCCUUCGGGUUGUAAACUUCUUUGACCAGGGACGAAAAAAAUGACGGUACCUGGAAAACAAGCCACGGCUAACUACGUGCCAGCAGCCGCGGUAAUACGUAGGUGGCAAGCGUUAUCCGGAUUUACUGGGUGUAAAGGGCGUGUAGGCGGUUUUGUAAGUCGGAUGUGAAAUUCCCAGGCUUAACCUGGGAGCUGCAUCCGAAACUACAGAACUUGAGUACUGGAGAGGAUAGUGGAAUUCCUAGUGUAGCGGUAAAAUGCGUAGAUAUUAGGAGGAACAUCAGUGGCGAAGGCGACUAUCUGGACAGUAACUGACGCUGAGGCGCGAAAGCGUGGGGAGCAAACAGGAUUAGAUACCCCGGUAGUC
rnacentral:rRNA from 1 species